rnacentral:lncRNA from 1 species
UGACCUUUUAGUAUCCAAGAGCCAGCUUAGGCUUUUGGCAGUUUUGAGCCAGCUUUCACUGAGAGAACAUCCAUGCUGACGGGAGAUCAAGGACACCAAGGCAUUUGAGACUGCUAUUAUCCUGUUGUUGUCAGAGACACAAGGUCCCUGGAGAAUCCUGAAGAUAGACAAGGAAGAAUAUCAUAGUGCCCUGUCUAGAUUACUCAACAACUUGAUUUUUGCAUUAAGUCUUCAAGGGUGGCAUUUUAUUCUGUUUUGG